UGGAGCAGGAGGAGGCUGAGAGAGCCGGAUACUCCAGUAAACCUCCAUCCUGGGCUCAGCAGCUGAGGGUCAGCUCGUUCUUCCUAAUCUGGUUUUUUCAAUGAACGUCCUACAUGAGGCCUCCUUUGGAUUCCACGAGAGGGAAGAUGUCUGAGCAUUCAGCAGGGUGCAGGCAUGCUCCAGAAUGCCCUGAUCUGACUGAUGUUAUUACUCUUUUAGAAAUGGAUCAGUGUGGUGGAUGUCCUCUCAUCUAGAUCACCUAAUGCAGUCAGCAUUUUCUACCCCACAGCAUUGAACAAUGCCAUGAAAAACAUCUAUAUUUUUGCAGUUAAAUGACUCACAUUCUUGAUAAAUGGAUUUAGGAACAGUCUCCAGCUGUUUUAUAAUAGCCAAAGCCAGCAUGAAUCAUCGUGAGCAGUGCCUAACUGCAAUAAAUAAUAUACUUGACAUCAUUCAAGUCCAUUCAAGACGGAAAAAUGAUUAAAAUGACUGUAUCUCUCACCUUUUUCACUUUGGCCUCCUUUAGCUUCUCCAAAGCAAGCUUGAUCUUAUCUGCUUUCAUCUGUUCCUCUAGUUCUUCCUAACGGAAACAAAAUGAUGUGUGUGGUUUCAGUGGGUGAGUGUGACAUUAAAGGGCUCUGCAUAUGG